AAUCAACGCUGGCGGCGUGCCUCAGACAUGCAAGUCGAACGCGAAAGUCCCCUUCGGGGGACGAAGUAGAGUGGCGCACGGGUGAGUAACACGUAGGUAAUCUACCUUCGGAUGGGGAAGUAACAACCGGAAACGGUUGCUAAUACCGCAUAAUGCAGCGGCACCUAAUGGUGACAGUUGUUAAAGCGGGGGAGUCGAAAGACCCCGCGUCUGAAGAGGAGCCUGCGGCGGAUUAGCUAGUUGGAAGGUAAUGGCUUACCAAGGNGACGAUCCGUAGCCGGCCUGAGAGGGGCGGUCGGCCAUACUGACACUGACAUACGGGUCAGACUCCUACGGGAGGCAGCAGUCGGGAAUUUUGGGCAAUGGGCGAAAGACCUGACCCAGC
rnacentral:rRNA from 1 species